CCCGCCGGCGACCGGCGCACGGGUGAGUAACACGUAUGAAACCUGCCCGUAGCAGGGGGAUAAGCGGAAGAAAUUCCGUCUAAUACCGCGUAAUAUCUUUCGGGGGCAUUCCUGAGGGAUUAAAGGAAGCGAUUCCGGCUACGGAUGGGCAUGCGGCGCAUUAGCUAGUCGGCGGGGUAACGGCCCACCGAGGCGACGAUGCGUAGGGGUUCUGAGAGGAAGGUCCCCCACACUGGUACUGAGACACGGACCAGACUCCUACGGGAGGCAGCAG
rnacentral:rRNA from 1 species